rnacentral:rRNA from 1 species
CAGAAGCGGGGGAUAACACCUGGAAACAGAUGCUAAUACCGCAUAACAACUUGGACCGCAUGGUCCGAGCUUGAAAGAUGGCUUCGGCUAUCACUUUUGGAUGGUCCCGCGGCGUAUUAGCUAGAUGGUGGGGUAACGGCUCACCAUGGCAAUGAUACGUAGCCGACCUGAGAGGGUAAUCGGCCACAUUGGGACUGAGACACGGCCCAAACUCCUACGGGAGGCAGCAGUAGGGAAUCUUCCACAAUGGACGAAAGUCUGAUGGAGCAACGCCGCGUGAGUGAAGAAGGGUUUCGGCUCGUAAAACUCUGUUGUUAAAGAAGAACAUAUCUGAGAGUAACUGUUCAGGUAUUGACGGUAUUUAACCAGAAAGCCACGGCUAACUACGUGCCAGCAGCCGCGGUAAUACGUAGGUGGCAAGCGUUGUCCGGAUUUAUUGGGCGUAAAGCGAGCGCAGGCGGUUUUUUAAGUCUGAUGUGAAAGCCUUCGGCU